UUAAAAAAAAAAACAACAGCUAAUAGUUAACACGGGCUUACUGGGCUCUGUUCUGAGUGUGUAUUGACUUUGUGUGUUUGGACUCAUUUAAUCCAACAAAAGCUCUAUGAGAUCGCUAUUGGUAUUAUCCCCAUUUUUACUGAUGAGAAACUGAGGCAGAGAGUUUUAUUAGAGUUACAAAGCCAGGCAGUCUUCCCUUAAAACCAGUCACCUGUACCAGGAACAGCAGCAUCUUCAUUAUCGCCAAAAAACUUUUAUUGGAUAGUUAGGACAGGCAUGUGAACUGUCUCACGUGCAUUCUCGCAUUUAAUGCUCUCACCCCAUAAGGAAGUACAAUUAUUAUUCCCCAUUUUACAGAAGAGAAUACCGAGGCUUACAUAGUUAUGUGCCCAAGGUCACAGAACUAUUCGGUGCCAGGUCGGGAACAAUGGAUCUGUCAGAUUCUUUCCCACUGUGACAGUCGCCUGUAAGGAUAGGAUUCUGAAUCUGGCAGCACAUCAUGCCCUUAAUAAAGCCAUCAGCAUAUCAGCAAAGAAAUUAAAAAUGCCCUGGGAGGCCCUCUGGAGAAAUGGCAGAUUCUACGGCUGGGGCUGAAAACACGGGGUGAGCUUGGGGCAUUUUACACUGACAGAAAGUAAAGUCGUGCUCAGAACAAAGCAAAUCACAAAAAGGAUGAAGGCGUGUCAGGAGGACACAGGGGCAAACCGGAAGAAGUUCCCAGUGUCCAAACCCGGAACAUUUUGGGCACUGAAUACAUACCAGUAGCAUUAGAUUAUAAGUCAAAGAAAAAACAAACACCCAUGAGUCCGUACUGAUAAAAAAUAAAUGACCAAAUAAAUAAAUGAGUAGAAGAGAAAAACCGUCCUUAAAGAAGGAUUCCAAAUUGUAAAUGUAGAAGGAAUGAGGAAAGUACAAAAUCGCCUUAGAGCCCUGUGGUAAUAAUGGUGGCAGGCAAGAUCCUCUGAGGAAUGUGAAAGUUGGCGGGCGAGGCUUUAAGGAGAAACGGGAUCUUUGUAUCGCCCCAGAUUAUCUACCCAAAAAUAAUAAUUACUGUGGUGGUUUUCACAUAUAUCCACAAAUUCGUUGAUACUCCUUCCUCUAGAAUAGGAGUUUCAUUCCUUUUCCCCGGAGUGUGGGCUGGAUUUAGUGACUUACUGGUAACAAAGAAAGUAACAUGGAGCAUCUGGUGGCUCAGUCAGUUAAGCGUCCAGCUCCAGCUCAGGGCAUGAUCUCACGGUUCGUGGGUUCAAGUCCUGCAUCGGUCUCUGCGCCAUCAGUGCAGAGCCCGCUUAGGAUCCUCUGUCUCCCUCUCUCUCUGCCCUUCCCCUGCGCAUGCUGCAUGCUCUGUCUCUCUCUUUCUCAAAAAUAAACACUAAAAAAAUCUUUAAGAAAAGUAGUAACCUUACUGUUGCAAAACCUGACAGGCACCACCUUAACCAAGUGGUCAAGGUUAACAUCAGCUGUAGCGUUGUACUCAUAUCACGAACCCCCUGAUUCAAUGUCUUGAGAAAGGCACUUCCCCUGUGUGGUCUUCUUCCCAACAAUUCACACCCCAGUCCGGUCAUGAGAAAACAGCAGACAAACCCAAAUUGAGGCACAUUUUACAAAGUACCUGACCGAUGCUCUUCAAAAGUGUCAAGGUCAUGAAAGACCAGGGAAGCCUGAGAAACCGUCACAGACUGGAGAACACUAAGGAGGCAUGACAAGUAAAUACAACGUGAUAUUCUGGACUGAAUUCCAAGAACAGAAAAAAGAUAUGAGUGAGGAAAAAAUAAAAAUUAAAAAAUUGCCCCACCUGUGCUUUCAAAUUAAGAGCACAGAGACUCACUGAAAGUUAGCCAGAGCUGCCCUGCUUUGGCUCCAGGGACCUUGUGAGGGUGCCCAGAGGGAAGGGAUGUGACAAGUGGCAGGGAAGCAGCACAGAGAUGAUAGCAGGACUCCGAGGAGGGGACAUGAUUAGCUGUGACAGGAAAGAGAGGGGUGGUGGGAGAGCAAAGGAAGGGGAGUCUGCACUUCAGGCCGUUUGUUUUACUUGGCUACCCUGCCCCAUCAGUUCCGGUGCCUCUUAGCUGCCUCUCUUCCUCCUGUACCUAUUGCCUUUUAAUAUACUGCAUGAUUGUGCUAAUGCUGUUUGUCUGUCCAGAUGCCUCUCCACUCUUUUCCGCUCUGCUCUGUGCCCCAGGGGACUCCCUGCCUGCGGCUUCCCUGGGGGCCAGCCAGUGGGGGGCACAGGCAGGAGCCCUGAGAAUAAAGGAGAAUGGGGUCCAGUCCUGAGGCUCCCACCCCACCUGGGGUGCCUGGCCUGGCCUGGCCAGGUCCCUCUAGCAGAGGCCACAGCCCCCACCCAGAGUUCUCACUGGGUUCUGGUGACUGCCCCUUCUCUUGCCCUGUUAGACUCACGCGUGGGCACUGAUUCCCCCACAGUGGGUAGUUCUCGGGUGCAACUCCGUUUUCUCUUUCUCAAAGAGAAACUCUCAAAGUCUCAAACCCUGAAGUCCGCCCACAUCUUGGUAAAUCCUCUCAUGAAACUUGUCUCGAUUACUCAAUUGACUAAGUCAUCUGUUUCCUGCUGGGAUCACAACUGAUGGAAAAAGUUACUAUAUUUAUUGUCCAUUGUUUAUCUUCCCCUUUAGAACAUAAACUCUAUGAGGGCAGAAAUGUUAAGUACUCCCUUCGCUGCCAUGACACUCUGUAAAUAAAUAUCUGUUGGAUAAAUGAGUGGAUGUUCAUUCUACCCGUACUGUCUCACACGGUAAUCACUCAUCGCAUGUGGCUGUUGAGCACUCGAAAUGUGGCUGGUAGGACUGAGAAACCAUUUUAAAUCGUACUUAAUUUUCAUUUCCAUAGCCACAGUCCUAGUCUAUGGAAAUUUCCCGAGCAUAAGGCAAUUCUGGAGCUACUGAUGUCCGCACUGCCCCAGGAGGAGUCUGGAGGGUGGCCCGGUGGUCUCAAAUGUUUGCUUCGCCCUGGCGAACUGCGGUGCUGGCCUUCUUGUAGGCUCAGGAAUGUGUGCCUUGUUUUUAUACAUUUACAUUUUCAUUUCCCUGCAAACUGUCCAUUUCUUGGAUAAUAGAGUUACAGUGUGCUCACCAGGCCCUUACAAACUUGCAGCUUACAAAAGAGCUCUGGCCCCUGGCCAAGGGAGUCUCCAGCUGCUGACUGACCCUGCCUGGAAAGUCAACUUGGAAGAGACGCAAAUGUCCUAAUCCUCUUCCAAACCACUCUAAGUAGGUUUUAUCCAGUGACCUGUAAAACCAAAUUAGUAAAGGGACACUUUAAUUCCAGCUCAUUAGAGAGCUUCUAAAAUCUUUGAGAAAGCCAACACAGCAAAUUUCUGUGCUGGGGGGGCUGAGAAACGCAUCCCAUUUCCAAAAGCAAAAUGUCCUUGCUUUCUUCUGGUUCUUGCACAUCACUCGACACGCAGAAAGAUGUUUUCUGAGGCUUUCACAGGGCUCUCCAGUGAGGUGGGGAGCGGUUCCUGCGAGGGAGAAAAAUAUGGUGGCCUAGGGAGGUCAAGUGAUUUUCCCCAAGUUCUGCCAAGUCCAGUCCCAGCUCUGGUCUCCUGACUCUGGUGCAGGGAACAUUUGCACUGUUCUUAUUAUUACCCCAGGAGCUGGCUUAUUGCACAAUAUCAGGAAAUAGUCCAUAUGAAAUCCUGGCCCACAAAGCAUACAUGUUCUGCUUUUUAUUCUGCAGCUUUUUUAUAAAGUGUGUUUUCCUUUCCCAUAAUGUCAUCUGGAAGCAAUUCCUCCCAACAGCUGGAUUUGCUUUCACAAUUGGUAAACACGUAAAAUGGAAGGCAGGGGAAGAUGCGGAGUGUCACCAGAGGAGCCUUUCCCCCACCCGCUUGGCUCGUGUUCUGAGGCUUAUCUUGGGUCUCUGCACAAGCCUCAUCAAAACUGAGAACGUCUUCAAACAAGCGACCCACACUGCGUUCCCUCCUUCAGGGGGUCAGCAUGUUCUUUGGGGGAGAAAUUUUCUGAAUACUUUGCAGAUAAAAUCGAUCAGAUGCAGACCAGAUUGCCAGCCGCCAAGAUCUCGGAGCUACACGUGGAGGCCAGCAAAGCAGCACCUUCUCCAAGACCUCACCAUCCUGGUACAGUCAGGACCUCUGGGGUCCUGCAGGAAGCCUCCCGCAGGGCACAGCCUUCCCAGAGCCACUGCCACCAAAGCCAAUACAGGACGAGAGCCCAAAGAGCACCGACUAGGUCAUCAAAGAAAAUGAAUGUCCCCCCCCCACCCCCCCAUGUGCUCCCGAGGAACAAGUUUUCACGCAGGCACAAACAGAAGGCAGCCAGUACUCCGGAAGGCCAAGAGCACAGCUGUCAUCUGGGUGUUGGCUCACACCCUCUCCACUCUGUCUCCAGGGUCUCGGGGGCCGCUUCUCUAGGGGUUCACCAACAUGGUUAGUUCUGGUCCAGGAGGUUCAGGGCACAGUUUAAGCUGGAAUACAGUGCCGGGGGGCAAAGCUGAGGCUUCAGGCACUCUCCUCCCACAUAAGAAAUGCUAUUCUUUGAUCAAAGUUUCAAAUUUGGAAGAAAUCAACCUAGCAUAUGGCUCAACUCUCAGAGGGAGCACGAGAGUAUGCCGUUGACCAGGCAGCCCUACAGAGAUGCAGAAGAGGGUAUGUGUCACCCGGCCCAGCGGCGGGGAUGACCUCAACACGGUGCCGGCCAGAUGGGGAGAGAGUGGGGGGUAGGAGGGGCUUCCUUCCAAGCACCACCAACCCUCUGGGUAGCCAGGGCCCCACUUCCUGUGAGGGAGCUUCCCUGUGCUGUGGACCCUUGGCUGCAAAGUCCAACUGGAAGAGAGGAGCACCCCGCCCACUGAACCAGCAAAAGUUGCCGAUCAGGAGCAGGGCUCACCGGAGGACCCUGAGGAGGCUGACUGCCCAGCUCCUCAGCACAAGCUGCAAACGGAGCCCCUUUGCCUAGGCCCAUGGUGGGUGGAGUGCACUCUUUCUCGGGUCUGCCUCUUUCCUGGGGUCCAUCUUCUCUCUCUGUCCUCCAGGAAGAGGCUGUAUCUUGUCUGGAGUCAAGGAACAGAAAUUUCACUGUACAGUUUUCCAAAUCUCAUGCCUCAUAUCCGAAAUGUCGAAACUCCGUGUUUCUAGUUGCAGGCCAAGGCUGCUCCCUCCAGACCCUGGUCACUCUGGUCUGAUCGCCUGCACUGCUGGGAGGGCCCUCGGAGUCCACUCGGUGAGAUUCACUGAAGCCCAGGGGGGUGGGUGGGUGACAGCAACCCCCUGGUUAAUACUUCAAAGUGACCCUCUAGAUUAAAGCAACUAGAGUUCUAACAACCAUAUGCAAUGGGUGCACCUUGUUUGGAUCCUGAUUCAAAUGUACCAACCGUAAGGAGACAUCUUGGGAUAUUUCAAGAAAAUCUGAAUUUGGACUGGGUAUCGGAAAACAUUUAAGAACUUAUUGUUAAUUUUGAUAAGUAAGUGUGGAAAAAAACAUAAAAAAUAAAUAUGUAAACAAAUUUUUAUAUGUGUGAUAAUGGUGUUGUGGUUAUAUAAGACAAUGCCCUCAUCUUUUAAAAAGUAUACCCCUAAGUAUUUGGAAGUGAAAUAUGACAUCUGGGAUUUAUUUUAAAAUACUUAAGAAAAAAACAUCAUGAUGGGUACAGCUAGGUGCCUCAGUUGGUUGAGUGUCUGACUCUUGAUCUCAGGUCUUGAGCUCAGGUUCGUGAUUUCAAGCCCCAGGUUGGGCAUGGAGCCUACUGAACAGAAAAACACAUGAUGAAACAAAGAUGGCAUCUUAGUCCAUUUGGGCUCCUGUAACAGAGUUCUAUAAACUGGGUACAAACAACAAAAAUUGUUUUUCACAGUUCUGGAGGCUGGAAAUCCCAGAUGGAGGUGCCAGCAAAUUCUAAUGAGAGCCCACGUCCUGGUUCAUAGAUGGUGCCUUCUCAUUGUAACCUAACGUGGCGGAAGGGUGACUAAUAAGGGCACUGACACUGCACAGACUGAACUGGAGCCCCAGUGGUUGUGACGUCAGGUGGUAGCUAUGACAUUUCACUCGUCAGCGGGUCCGUGGAAGUCCAAACUCAGUCUGCAAAGGGCGAAUGGAGAAGGUCAGUGUAUACAGUUCGAAAGUGUGGGUGCUUCAAAAGCCGAAUGUACAAAAGUUGAAAAUGUUGCCCAGCUCCAGCUAGAACGUAAGUGUCUUGCAGACAGGAAUGUUGUCCAUUUUGUACACAGCGGUAUCCCAGUGCCUAGACAGGGUCCUGCACACGGUAGAUGCUUCAUGCUUUCUGGAUUCAUGAACUGCCCGUGCUUUGGAAUUCUGGCAGCCACUUGUCACAUUGUACUGUAUAUACCGGUAUCACAUUGAACUUAAAGAUUGACAGUAUCUUGGAAGCAGAAGGAAGCCUUUUUUCUCUUGCGACAUCUACAUCGUCCAUAACUGAGAUUCAAUAAAUGCACAUUGGCCAGGUAGAAGUACCUUUGUAUUGUUGGGAGCUAGCUAGUGAUUAAACAGUUUAAAAACAAAAUCCCUCACUGGUCAUGAGAAAAACCAUAGCUCAUGCUACAGAAAUGGACAAUUGCUGAAGCCCCCAGAAGUUUCUCAAGUACUGUGUGGCAGGGAAGUAGAUUUCCUGCCCCAGAAAUCUGGCAAAAGAAUUCACUUGAGGAUUUAAGUCUGAGAAAAAAAAGACCCAAGAAAGGAGGCAGAGAAGGGGAGGUCUUUUCCAGGGCCUAGAGAUUAAGGCUAUUUAGAUACCACUUAAGAAAGGAACCAGAUGCCAGCCAGGUUUGUGCUUCGGUUUAACCGUGUUCUCUGCAAAACUUGCUUAUGGGAAGAUCAGAAGCUCUGACGAUCAUUACUGAAGAGGAUUCAGAGAAAUUAUCGUCUACUCCCGGUUGAAGAGAGAACAAGUCCUGAUCUUUUUUUGGUGUCAACCUCUACUGAAAUGUGCUGUUGUCAAAUCAAAAAGGGGAUAGAUUCGAAUUUUACAACUCUGAUGAAAGUGAAAUAAAAGGAAAUCUGUAUCAUCUUAAUCAAAGCAUGUGCCACCUGAGUCGGCUCCCUGUCUCGUCCCUUGGCCUUGGUGACUCUCAUGUGCUGGAGGUUAAGGGUUUGUUAAAGAAGAUGGGUUUUGAUUAAGUGUCACAUUUAGUGUGAUGUGACAUGCUCUUUAUCAUUGCAAGGGAAGAUUGGGGGACCAGGGGGAGCUUUAUAGCUAGUUCCCAAUAUAAAUUAGGAGUCUUGGGGAAUGGGUACUUUGCAGUUGGCCUUGAUCUUUCCAGGGCCCAAUGAAUGUGUGUAUGUGAGAGUGUGCACACAUGUAUGUGUGUGUGUGUGUGUGUGUGCGCGCGUGUGUGUGCGUAGGGAUGGCAGAAAAGUCAGUUUUCACGUGCCUGCGCUAAUGGGCUGGUUACCCCACUUGGAGUUUGACUGGCAAUUGUAACAUAAGCCUCCAGCUCUAAAUUUGUCCAUGUUCUUGAUAUGGGGCAAAGUUCUCCCUGCCUUUUACUUCUUUGGAAUUUCACUGUUGCUUAGGGAAAUCUCAGAUUUUGGCUUAAACUGGAGUAGUGAGAGCACAGUGAAAACGGGGGUACAGUAAAUCCCCAGAGUGCUCCUGAAGGCAGGGGGUGGGGAUUGAGGGAGACAUCCCAGAAGGAACCAUUCCCAUCCAAAAGGCACCUCACCCCGCCUCCAGAUCAAUUUUUCUAAAAUAUCACUUGUGGAGCUCCUAGCUGGCUCAGGGGAGCAUGCAACUCUCAAUCCUGCAGCUGUGAGUUCGAGCCACACAUUGGGUAUAAAUACUAUUUGAACAAAUAAACUUAGGAAAAAAAAGACUCUCGUCAAGUCAGAACCCUUCCAUAAAUACCCUUUCCUUCCCUCCCAUUGCCUUUAUGCCACAAGAAUAAAGGAAAUCCACACCCUUUGUUCCAGCAUUCAAUGCCAUACAUCCUGGCACUGCCAAAUUGGCCUACUUACUUCCUCUCAAAUGACUUAGCUUUUAUCUUGCAGCGUUUGCUUGUCACUCCCCUGUGUGGAAUGCCUUUUCUGUUUCUCUCACCUAUGGCAAGAUGGCGCCCAUCUUCCAAACAUUGGCUACGGCCCUUUCCUUUUUAUGAGGGAGUCACGGCCCACUUGAGACAAUGCCUCUUUUUAUCCCAAAAAUCUGAAUGGAGCUUCUACUAAGUGCCCAGAACUGCUCUAGACACCUGGAUUAGGUCAGAGAACAAGACGAAGACACCUGCCUUCAAGGAGCAUGCGCCGUAGUCAUCAGGAGGAUUGUGCGGUAAACUUAAAAGACAACUCAAAAAUAUUACUAUAUGAUAAGUUACUAUGGAGAGAAGAAGAAGAAGAAGAAGAAGAAGAAGAAGAAGAAGAAGAAGAAAACAGAGCAGGGUAAAAGAGAUCAGGAGCUCCCACUGUUUGAGGCCAGGGGCUGGCUACAGUAUUACAGGAUGACCAGGGUAGGUCUCAUAGAGGGAUGUGUGGACCAAGAAACUAGAAGAAAAUCCAUAAUGUCGAAUAACAAACGGAAAGGCCUCCAGGGGCACCUGGGUGGCUCAGCUGGUUGAGUGACUGACUUCGGCUCAGGUCAUGAUCUCCUGUAAGUUCAAGCCCUGCAUGGGGCUCUCUGCUGUCAGCACAGAGCCUGCAUUGGAUCCUCUGUCCCCCCUCUCUCUCUACCCCUCCCCCACUUGUGCCCCUGAGCUCGUGCUCUCUCUCUCAAAAAUAAACAUUUUUUAAAAAAGAAAGGCCUCCAAUGUUUGGUUCAACCAGUUCACGUGACAUUAAGGAAGAAGUUAGGCAAGGAAUGGAGAAAUGCUUAGGUUUUUAUUGCUAUGUUCAAAAGUAAUUUUUUUUAAUUAGAAAAAUUAUUUACUUUUACUCCUUCCCUACAUCUUACUGUUCAGGAAACCAUCUUACAGACGUAUCUGCAAUAAUGUACUGUUCCCAAUCUGUUUAAAGGCAACGCAGCAUAGGGAAACACCAUCAGCGGUCCAGACUUCUCAGCUUAUGGGAUCUUGCUUCCUGAUUUUACAUGAAAUCCUGAAACUUAGAAGUGUUUUCUCCAAAAAGGAGAAAACAGGGCAUUGUAAAAGAAAAAUCACUUUAUUCAGUAUCACAGUUUUAGAAAUGGAAUAUAUUUUCUUUAAGGAACGAGAAGCUUUUUUCUCAACUGUUAUUGGUUUGUCAGUAUAGGUCAGCAGGAAGAAACAUUAACAAGCCUGGCUCUUCAAUAUCAAGACAUCUAGUCCAAGCGAUGGUAUGCUUUCUUCCUUUUCAGAGAUGCUUCUUUUUCUGGUGCUUUCCAUCCUUUUCCACGUUUCAUAUUAGAGGAUCAGGACAACCUUUAAAACUUCCUGAACAAGAGCAAGUCCAUAGCCUCUGAUUUCUUCCCAAAAGGCUUUCCAACCCGUGACUGUUCCAGCCACCAAACAAACCAACAGGACACAGAAGAGCCCAAUGUGUAGAAGAAAUCUCCUGAGUUGUGGGAUGUUGGGUGCACUGGAUUGGUCCAGCAUUAUGAAACAGAAACUUCCCCGCUAUCCAUUGUAAACAGGAAGCUGGAUGCAAGUCCUUCCACACUAUAUUGGCCAUUUACUCCGUAGGCCAAGCAAGCUGCUGGCCUCUGACACCCAUGUUCAUCAGAGACAGAGCCAACGCUAGGAGGUUCUGCAACAACACCAUCAAUUGUUCCUCCCACGAUGCGGAUGUCAGAGGCCACCCGCAGGGCUUACACCAUCGUGGUCCUGCACCCAGGGCGACCUCUUCAGCUUCAGAUUGGGACCAUCCAGCCCAAGAACAAGACUUAUUAGUUCAAAGUGUCCGUGUUGGUGGUGGCAGGGGCAGCUCUCGGCCUCAGGCCCCACAUGCCACCUGGAAGCAGCUAAGGUAAUUUUUUAGACAUUAAAAUUAUAAAAGCAUUAACUGGCGAUUGCUUCUUGAUAUGGAAAAAAAAUAAUAAAUACACUUCAGAAAUUGCAAAUA